rnacentral:rRNA from 1 species
CCUACGGGUGGCUGCAGGAGGGAAUAUUGGUUAAUGUGCGAAAGCGCGAACCAGCAACGCCGCGUGAACGAUGAAGGCCUUCGGGUUGUAAAGUUCUUUUUACCGGGAAGAGGAAGGACGGUACCGGUAGAAUAAGUCUCGGCUAACUACGUGCCAGCAGCCGCGGUAACACGUAGGAGACGAGCGUUAUCCGGAUUUACUGGGUGUAAAGCGCGUGCAGGCGGUUUGUUAAGUUGGAUGUGAAAGCUCCCGGCUAAACUGGGAGAGGUCGUUCAAAACUAGCAGACUAGAGUGUGGUAGAGGAGAGUGGAAUUCCGAGUGUAGCGGUAAAAUGCAUAGAUAUUCGGAAGAACACCAGUGGCGAAGGCGACUUUCUGGACCACAACUGACGCUCAGACGCGAAAGCCAGGGUAGCAAACGGGAUUAGAUACCCCAGUAGUC